AACACGUCACUGGCGAAUUGACACUCAAGCCAAAACCCAGGAACAACAACAACAUUUCUGCGUGUCUGCAGCUGGCGGAGCUCCGUUGGAAAAAUUGAAAUUCUAUCACUAAAAGUAUUAGUUUGAUUGGUUUGAAUUGUGCUUAAAAUUGUUCCGGAACAGAAGGACAAGAUCUGUGGCAUUGAGGAUGGAAAUUUCAGCAUGUCCGAACAAAACUUCAUUGGAAAAAAUCAUCGGGAUGACUCAGGCGAAGAAUUUACGCCAACAGCAGCAUUCUCAUCAAAGAUCAGCCAGCAAGGCUAGCAGCUUUCAAGAUGCAACGCCCCAAAUUGUGCCGCCAUUCUUUCGGGAAUAAAUUUAACUUCAUUGUUAUGUGUUGUGAGCCUAUAUUUUAAGGUUUUGUGAAUCUUUCAAUUGUUUGAGAAUAAAGAAAACAACUAAUA